rnacentral:rRNA from 1 species
UACGUAGGGGGCUAGCGUUGUCCGGAUUUAUUGGGCGUAAAGAGCGUGUAGGCGGCCAGGUAGGUCUGGUGUGAAAACUCGAGGCUUAACCUCGAGAUGUCAUCGGAAACCAUCUGGCUAGAGUCCGGAAGAGGAGAGUGGAAUUCCUGGUGUAGCGGUGAAAUGCGCAGAUAUCAGGAAGAACACCAAUGGCGAAAGCAGCUUGCUACAGGGAGAUUGACACUGAGGCACGAAAGCGUGGGGAUCAAACAGG